UACGGGGGAGCAAGCGUUGUUCGGAUUUACUGGCGUAAAGGGCGCGUAGGCGGCCACCGCAAGUCGACUGUGAAAUCUCCGGGCUUAACCCGGAAAGGUCAGCCGAUACUGCGGGGCUAGAGUGCAGAAGGGGCAACUGGAAUUCUCGGUGUAGCGGUGAAAUGCGUAGAUAUCGAGAGGAACACCUGCGGCGAAGGCGGGUUGCUGGGCUGACACUGACGCUGAUGCGCGAAAGCUAGGGGAGCGAACGGG
rnacentral:rRNA from 1 species